rnacentral:rRNA from 1 species
GAUGAACGCUAGCGGCAGGCCUAACACAUGCAAGUCGAGGGGCCAGCAAAAAAAAGUAACUUGUUACUUUUGUUGGCGACCGGCGGACGGGUGCGUAACGCGUAUGCAACCUACCUUACACAGGGGGAUAACGGAUGGAAACGUCCACUAAUACCCCAUAACAUCUUUGAGGGCAUCCUCGAAGGUUGAAAACUCCGGUGGUGUAAGAUGGGCAUGCGUUGUAUUAGGUAGUUGGUGAGGUAAAGGCUCACCAAGCCUACGAUACAUAGGGGGACUGAGAGGUUAGCCCCCCACACUGGUACUGAGACACGGACCAGACUCNUACGGGAGGCAGCAGUGAGGAAUAUUGGUCAAUGGGGGCAACCCUGAACCAGCCAUGCCGCGUGCAGGAAGACGGCUCUAUGAGUUGUAAACUGCUUUUGUACAGGGAUAAAUCAUAAUACGUGUAUUAUGUUGAAGGUACUGUACGAAUAAGGAUCGGCUAACUCCGUGCCAGCAGCCGCGGUAAUACGGAGGAUCCAAGCGUUAUCCGGAUUUAUUGGGUUUAAAGGGUGCGUAGGCGGCACAGUAAGUUAGCGGUGAAAUCGCGGGGCUUAACCCCGCAACUGCCGUUAAAACUGCUGAGCUAGAGAUUAGAUGCGGUAGGCGGAAUGUGUAGUGUAGCGGUGAAAUGCUUAGAGAUUACACAGAACACCGAUUGCGAAGGCAGCUUACCAAUCUAUGUCUGACGUUGAGGCACGAAAGCGUGGGUAGCAAACAGGAUUAGAUACCCUGGUAGUCCACGCAGUAAACGAUGAUAGCUCGUUGUCGGCGAUACACAGUCGGUGACUUAGCGAAAGCGUUAAGCUAUCCACCUGGGGAGUACGUUCGCAAGAAUGAAACUCAAAGGAAUUGACGGG